CCUACGGGCGGCAGCAGUGGGGAAUAUUGGACAAUGGGGGGAACCCUGAUCCAGCCAUGCCGCGUGUGUGAAGAAGGCCCUCGGGUUGUAAAGCACUUUCAGUGAGGAAGAACGCCUGGUGGUUAAUACCCAUCAGGAAAGACAUCACUCACAGAAGAAGCACCGGCUAACUCCGUGCCAGCAGCCGCGGUAAUACGGAGGGUGCGAGCGUUAAUCGGAAUUACUGGGCGUAAAGCGCGCGUAGGUGGCUUGAUAAGCCGGGUGUGAAAGCCCCGGGCUCAACCUGGGAACGGCAUCCGGAACUGUCAAGCUAGAGUGCAGGAGAGGAAGGUAGAAUUCCCGGUGUAGCGGUGCAAUGCGUAGAGAUCGGGAGGAAUACCAGUGGCGAAGGCGGCCUUCUGGACUGACACUGACACUGAGGUGCGAAAGCGUGGGUAGCAAACAGGAUUAGAUACCCUAGUAGUC
rnacentral:rRNA from 1 species